ACUCUUUACGCGUGAGAUGGCAAAUAGAUUUGUUUAUCUUUGUCGGGCGUUUCGCUAGACACUAACUUAUUGAGAACA
rnacentral:sRNA from 15 species